AGGAGCCGAAUGAAACCAAAGUUUCAUGUUCGGUUUUGAAUUAGAGACAGAUCAUUUUGAUAAUAAUAAGUUUGAUCUGUUUUACCGAGAAGGUCUACGGUUCGAGUCCGU
rnacentral:ncRNA from 1 species